CUCUCUCUCUCAAAAAUAAACAUUAAAAACAAAUAAAAAUUAAUUAAUUUUAAAAAGGCUGAUUUUUGGUCUCCUCUAUAGGCCUCCAGAAUCCAAAAUUUUCAAAGAAAGUCCUGGAAAUCUGUGUUUUGGCACGCAUUCUCUUCCCUAGGCCGGCCAGUGCAGUAAAAUUUAAGAAUCUUUCUCUAUACCAAUCCUGGUCUCAUUUAUUAUCCUUUUCAUGAAAAUAUUUCGUUUUCAACCUUUUGUGACUUCUGAAAAUGGAAUCUGAAGCAGAGGGAUCCACUUCCAUAAUACCGCCUGUGGCCAUCACUGGCACACUUGGCUUGCCGAUUUUAUCAGAGGAUGCGAAGGAAGCCAACCUUUGAUUAUCAGGAUGCCCAUAUCUACUUUUCCGUUGACUUGUCGCCAUUAAAGGCGCCUCUCCAGCUUUUCCUUUUCUCCUCUUUCUGCGAGAAAAAUGGGCCUGGUGCUCUUGGAAGCUGUGCUCUUGGAGCCCUUGAGCGCAGGGGCGAGUGAAAGUAAACUUGUUCAAGUUCCCUGAAGAAGCGGGAGUGGAAUCCAUCGGUGUUCCCACGGAGAAAGCACCGACUCCAAGAGAAUGCAGGAUGAAUGGAGAAGGAUGACGUCACAAAGAUGUCCGGGGAAACACCGGAACACCGUCACUCCGCUCACUCCUUGGUCUCCUCCCACCACUUCCUCCAGCCCUCCCGGAACUCCUUCUGCCUCAGGAGUAAUGCGAGCAAUGCAGUGUGUGCUGUUUCCCCGGUGUAAACACUCCCACCACGGCAGAUUUCAACUUACUGGUGGUUUAACAGCAGACUCACAACACUUUCGAAUAUUUAAUAAUCGGCUCUUGCAAACCAGGAGGGGACAACUCCAGCAUGUCCUCAACAGUCCUGCCCCAGAAAAUCCCCAAAUCACACCCCGGUUUAAUUCUUAGGUCCAGCCACAGAACCUAAAAGGGUAGAGGGAAGUUUUUCCUCUCCUCCAUCAACUAUGGAGAUAAUGGUGAACAAGGCAGAGUCUCUGCCCUCAUGAAGCUUACUGUCCAGUUUACAAGGAAAUCACUCUGUACACAAGUAACUUGAGAUAAUCCGAUAAUGACAACAAGGGUGCUGAGUGCUUUAAAGAAGAAGCCCGAGGUUUUACUAGGUACAUAACUACCCAGAGAAAGGAUUACAUGGCCACCUGCCCAAUAAGAUGUAGGCAGAAGUAACGUAUGGGGUCUCUGAGACCUUUUUUCUGCUACCUGGUAUCUGGAGGUGAUGGCUGGCAGCUGAGCAGCCAUCAGGGACCACGAGGAGACAUGGCUAAAAGUUAAACAGUGUAUUAAGUGGAGCUUUGUUCCCUGAUGACCAUGAGACUGUCAUACACCAUAUCAGCCCUGGAUCGCCUACCUCCAGGCUUCUUUUAUGUAAGGGAGAAAUAAAGGUCAAUCAAAUAAAUAAAGCCUCUAUUAUUUUCAGAUUUUCUGUUACACAAAGUCAAAC